rnacentral:rRNA from 1 species
UGGGGAAUAUUGCACAAUGGGCGCAAGCCUGAUGCAGCCAUGCCGCGUGUGUGAAGAAGGCCUUCGGGUUGUAAAGCACUUUCAGCGGGGAGGAAGGCGUUAAGGUUAAUAACCUUGGCGAUUGACGUUACCCGCAGAAGAAGCACCGGCUAACUCCGUGCCAGCAGCCGCGGUAAUACGGAGGGUGCAAGCGUUAAUCGGAAUUACUGGGCGUAAAGCGCACGCAGGCGGUCUGUCAAGUCGGAUGUGAAAUCCCCGGGCUCAACCUGGGAACUGCAUUCGAAACUGGCAGGCUAGAGUCUUGUAGAGGGGGGUAGGAUUCCAGGUGUAGCGGUGACAUGCGUAGAGAUGUGGAGGAAUACCGGUGGCGAAGGCGGCCCCCUGGACAAAGACUGACGCUCAGGUGCGAAAGCGUGGGGAGCAAACAGG